GCUUGGGUGGCUUAGUAGGUUAAGUGUCUGACAUUGGCUCAGGUCAUGAUCUCACCACUUGUGAGUUCAAGCCUCACAUCAGGCU
rnacentral:tRNA from 1 species